GGGAAAGAUGAAAGAACAAAUUUAUAGUAUCAAAAAGCAAAGAUUAACUCUUUUACGUUUUGCAUAAUGAUUUAACCAGAAAAUGCUUGACAAAAAGAAUUUAAGCCAAACACCCCGAAACCAGAUGAGCUACUUAUGAGCAGCCAAUAAGAGCCCAUCCAUCUAUGUUGCAAAAUAGUGGAACGACUUAUAAGUAGAGGUGAAAAGCCUACCGAGCCUGGUAAUAGCUGGUUGUCCAGAUUAGAAUUUUAGUUCUACUUUAAAUUUACCUAAAGCACAAGCAAGCCAAAUGUAAAUUUAAAUGUUAAUCUAAAGAGGGAUAGCUCUUUCAAGUUAAGGAAUAAACCUUAAUUAGAGAGUAAACCUAUUAACCUCCAUAGUUGGCCUAAAAGCAGCCAUCAAUUAAAAAAGCAUCAAAGCUUAACCUAAUUAUCAAAACUUAAUACCUAACUUUCAAUAAUCUCCUAAGCCAACACUGGACUAAUCUAUUUUCCUAAUAGAAGAAAUUAUGUUAAAAUGAGUAACAAGAAAACAUUCUCCCUGCAUAAACUUAUGUCAGAUCGAAUAAUUCACUGAUAGUUAACAACAUCAUAAUAUUAAAUAAAUCAUAAAACCAUUAUUAACAACACUGCUAACCCAACACUGGUAUGCACUAAGGGAAAGAUUAAAAAAAGUAAAAGGAACUCCGCAAACGCUAACCCCGCCUGUUUACCAAAAACAUCACCCUUCCCGUGAAGAGGCGGGAAUUUCCUAAUAAGACGAGAAGACCCUAUGGAGCUUAUAUUUAAUAGUCUCACAGCCUUGACAUUAUCUAAGGAAUCAAAACUAUUGUUCAUAGACUAGAAAUUUUGGUUGUGGUGACCUUGGAGUACAAAUAAACCUCUGAAUGAUAAUAAUCUAAACACAACACCUCCAAAUUAUAACUCAUUAAUUGACCCAAAUUAUUGAUCAAUGGAACAAGUUACCCUAGGGAUAACAGCGCAAUCCUACUCUAGAGUCCAUAUGGACAGUUAGGGUUUACGACCUGGAUGUUGGAUCAGGACAUCCAAAUGGUGUAACCGCUAUUAAUUGUUUGUUUGUUCAACGAUUAAAGUCCUACGUGAUCUGAGUUCAGACAGAGAAAUCCAGGUCGGUUUCUAUCUAUUACUAUAUUUCUCCCAG
rnacentral:rRNA from 1 species